GAUCCUGGCUCAGGAUGAACGCUAGCUACAGGCUUAACACAUGCAAGUCGAGGGGCAGCAUUUCAGUUUGCUUGCAAACUGGAGAUGGCGACCGGCGCACGGGUGAGUAACACGUAUCCAACCUGCCGAUAACUCGGGGAUAGCCUUGCGAAAGUAAGACUAAUACCCAAUGACAUCCCACGAAGACAUCUGAAUGGGAUUAAAGAUUUAUCGGUGAUGGAUGGGGAUGCG
rnacentral:rRNA from 1 species